rnacentral:lncRNA from 1 species
UUUAUCCCAUCCUGUGCUCUGCAACCAGAUCUGUUGCACUCCGUUCGUCUCUAUCACCGGAUCUGACCAAGAUCUAAUAUUCUGGCGGAGAUCUAAUAUUAAAAUUCUGGUGGUCAGGUCUAAUAUUAAAAUUAAAAUAAAGAUGUAGGCUCCAUUGAUUCUGCUAUGCAGUGAGGGUAGCUAAUUAAGUGGAAGACAAUUUAUUAAAACUAAGGAAAGUUGAGGCAGAGGACUUGGGGAAGAAGAGUAAGGACGUGUGAGGCAGAGGACUUGGGAAAGAAGAGUAACGACGUGUGAGGCAAAGGAUCUCCGCCUCCGCCGCCGCAUAGAUCUGAUAGAUCUGGCCAUCGUCGAACGAAUAGAUCUGAUAGAUCUGACCUCUUCAGGUACUCAACGAUUCACCAUAUUCGUGCUCCGAUCCUCUUCGUGCUAGAUCUGAUAGAUACUCUAGGUUUGGCCUGUGCAGUGCUUAUGCCCAGUUUCAUCGCCUUUAAUCCUGUCUGUGCACGCUUAUGAAUAAUCAAGAGCAUCAAUAACAACAAUCAGCCAUCAGAUAACAACCCUCAAGCAGUGAUGGAUGCAAGAAUUUUAUAGAGGGCAAAACUGUUAUAACUAAAUGAUAUUAUAAAACUUACUCAUGAAUUUGAUACUCUAUUCCAGGGAAAAAGGGAAAAUAGGCAUUAAUAGUGGUGGAGAAGGAAGGACAGAGAGGAAAAAUAAAUGUUAAAAUAUUUUUGGGAAUGUAAAACGUCAAAUAUUUUGAGAAGAAAAAAAUACUCUAAAACGUCAAAUAUUUUGGGAUGGAGAAAGUAACAAUCUCUUAUUCUAAUAUAAG